AAUCAACGCUGGCGGCGUGCCUAACACAUGUAAGUCGAACGCGAGAGGGGCUUCGGCCCUGAUUGAGUGGCAAACGGGUGAGAACGCGUGGGUGACCUACCUUCGAGUGGGGGAUAACGUUCCGAAAGGGACGCUAAUACCGCAUAACAUCCUGUCUUUGGACAGAUGGAGAUCAAAGCCGGGAUCGUAAGACCUGGCGCUUGAGGAGGGCCCGCGUCCGAUUAGCUAGUUGGUGGGGUAANGG
rnacentral:rRNA from 1 species